rnacentral:rRNA from 1 species
AUACGUAGGGGGCGAGCGUUAUCCGGAUUUAUUGGGUUUAAAGGGAGCGUAGGUGGGAUAUUAAGUCAGCUGUGAAAGUUUGGGGCUCAACCUUAAAAUUGCAGUUGAUACUGGUUUCCUUGAGUACGGUACAGGUGGGCGGAAUUCGUGGUGUAGCGGUGAAAUGCUUAGAUAUCACGAAGAACUCCGAUCGCGAAGGCAGCUCACCGGGCCGGAACUGACACUGAUGCUCGAAAGUGCGGGUAUCAAACAGGAUUAGAUACCCUGGUAGUCCGCACAGUAAACGAUGAAUACUCGCUGUUUGCGAUACACUGUAAGCGGCCAAGCGAAAGCGUUAAGUAUUCCACCUGGGGAGUACGCCGGCAACGGUGAAACUCAAAUGAAUUGGCGGGG